GACGAACGCUGGCGGCGUGCCUAAUACAUGCAAGUCGAGCGGACGUUUUUGAAGCUUGCUUCAAAAACGUUAGCGGCGGACGGGUGAGUAACACGUGGGCAACCUACCUUAUCGACUGGGAUAACUCCGGGAAACCGGGGCUAAUACCGGAUAACAUCUAGCACCUCCUGGUGCCGGAUUAAAAGAGGGCUUCUUUCUCUCAAGAUGAGGUGGGCCCGCGGCGCAUUAGCUAGUUGGAGAGGUAACGGCUCCCCAAGGCGACGACGCGUAGCCGACCUGAGAGGGUGAUCGGCCACACUGGGACUGAGACACGGCCCAGACUCCUACGGGAGGCAGCAGUAGGGAAUCUUCCGCAAUGGACGAAAGUCUGACGGAGCAACGCCGCGUGAGUGAUGAAGGGUUUCGGCUCGUAAAGCUCUGUUAUGAGGGAAGAACACGUACCGUUCGAAUAGGGCGGUACCUUGACGGUACCUCAUCAGAAAGCCACGGCUAACUACGUGCCAGCAGCCGCCGUAACAC
rnacentral:rRNA from 1 species